rnacentral:rRNA from 1 species
AUUGAACGCUGGCGGCAGGCUUAACACAUGCAAGUCGAGCGGAGAGAGGUAGCUUGCUACUGAUCUUAGCGGCGGACGGGUGAGUAAUGCUUAGGAAUCUGCCUAUUAGUGGGGGACAACAUUUCGAAAGGAAUGCUAAUACCGCAUACGUCCUACGGGAGAAAGCAGGGGAUCUUCGGACCCUGCGCUAAUAGAUGAGCCUAAGUCGGAUUAGCUAGUUGGUGGGGUAAAGGCCUACCAAGGCGACGAUCUGUAGCGGGUCUGAGAGGAAGAGACGCCAAACUGAGACGAAGACACGGCCCAGACUCCUACGGGAGGCAGCAGUGGGGAAUAUUGUACAAUGGGCGCAAGCCUAAUCCAGCCAUGCAGCGUGUGUGAAGAAGGCCUUAUGGUUGUAAAGCACUUUAAGCGAGGAGGAGGCUACUUUAGAUAAUACCUAGAGAUAGUGGACGUUACUCGCAGAAUAAGCACCGGCUAACUCUGUGCCAGCCGCCGCAGUAAUAC